GCUUGCAUAGCUCAAUUGGUAGAGCAUCCGGCUCAUAACCGGACGGUUUCGGGUUCGAGUCCCCAUGUGAGCACCA
rnacentral:tRNA from 1 species